CCUCUUCAAAAAGAAGCCGCAGUGCCAUCUGAGCCCUGAGGAAUGACUGGAGCCCUAAAGGCAGUGCACACCCUGCUCCUGAGCCUGCUGCUCAUUUCCUCUAUAUGGCUCCAUUUGUAAGACAAUUGUUGCACUGAGGCUUGUGCAUGCCAGGCAAGGCCAAGCUGGCUCAAGAGCAACCAGCCACCUCUGCAAGGGUGUGCCAGGAGCCGUGGAAGCACCAACCUCACUCACUGCGCUCAUGUACAUCUUCUACCUAGAGUAGGCCCCAUGCCAUCUGCUUUUCCUCAGGCCUCUGCUCCAUCAGCCAUCAGGUGGCAGCCACUCAGUCUGUUGGAAUCUGGCCAUCCCUGCUUCCUUGAGUGGGUGAGGUUGGUACAUCAGUUCUACCCUAGAGGUAGGGCCCCAGUGCCAUCUGUUUUGCUCAGGCCUCUGCUCCAUCAGCCAUCAGGUGGCAGUCACUCGGUCUGUUGGAAUCUGGCCAUCCCUGCUUCCUUGAGUGGGUGAGGUUGGUGGCUGCUCCACCUGUUCCAGGGCACCCUUGCAGAGUGGCUGGUUGCUCUUUGAGCCAGCUUGGCCUUGCUGGCAUGCACAGACCGCAGGUACCAAGUGCGCUCUGAGUGAGCUUGUCCUGCCUGGGCCAAAUUCUAAGUCUGGCC
rnacentral:lncRNA from 1 species